rnacentral:rRNA from 1 species
GUCCACGCCCUAAACGAUGUCAACUGGUUGUUGGGUCUUCACUGACUCAGUAACGAAGCUAACGCGUGAAGUUGACCGCCUGGGGGAGUACGGCCGCAAGGUUGAAAACUCAAAAGGAAUUGACGGGGACCCGCACAAGCGGUGGAUGAUGUGGUUUAAUUCGAUGCAACGCGAAAAAACCUUACCCACCUUUGACAUGUACGGAACUCGCCAGAGAUGGCUUGGUGCUCGAAAAGAGAGCCGUAAACACAGGUGCUGCAUGGCUGUCGU